AGAAGUUGGCAAUAGGCGUAUUUGUCGCCAACCGAGUCAGAUCUGGAAAGAAGCAGCUCUAACGAUUAAAGUAUGGGUUAUUCGUUCAACUUCUCAC
rnacentral:SRP_RNA from 1 species